rnacentral:rRNA from 1 species
CAGCCGCCGCGGGAAUACGGAGGGAGCUAGCGUUGUCCGGAAUUACUGGGCGUAAAGCGCGCGUAGGCGGUUACUCAAGUCAGAGGUGAAAGCCCGGGGCUCAACCCCGGAACUACCUUUGAAACUAGGUGACUAGAAUCUUGGAGAGGUCAGUGGAAUUCCGAGUGUAGAGGUGAAAUUCGUAGAUAUUCGGAAGAACACCAGUGGCGAAGGCGACUGACUGGACAAGUAUUGACGCUGAGGUGCGAAAGCGUGGGGAGCAAACAGGAUUAGAUACCCCCGUAGUCCCUGUCUCUUAUAA